GAUGAACGCUGGCGGCGUGCCUAAUACAUGCAAGUCGAGCGAACGGACGAGAAGCUUGCUUCUCUGAUGUUAGCGGCGGACGGGUGAGUAACACGUGGAUAACCUACCUAUAAGACUGGGAUAACUUCGGGAAACCGGAGCUAAUACCGGAUAAUAUUUUGAACCGCAUGGUUCAAAAGUGAAAGACGGUCUUGCUGUCACUUAUAGAUGGAUCCGCGCUGCAUUAGCUAGUUGGUAAGGUAACGGCUUACCAAGGCAACGAUGCAUAGCCGACCUGAGAGGGUGAUCGGCCACACUGGAACGGAAACACGGUCCAGACUCCUAAGGGAGGCAGCAGUAGGGAAUCUUCCGCAAUGGGCGAAAGCCUGACGGAGCAACGCCGCGUGAGUGAUGAAGGUCUUCGGAUCGUAAAACUCUGUUAUUAGGGAAGAACAUAUGUGUAAGUAACUGUGCACAUCUUGACGGUACCUAAUCAGAAAGCCACGGCUAACUACGUG
rnacentral:rRNA from 1 species